CCUACGGGAGGCUGCAGUGAGGAAUAUUGGUCAAUGGCCGGAAGGCUGAACCAGCCAUGCCGCGUGAAGGUCAGUGCCCUAUGGGCGUUAAACUUCUUUUGUGCGGGAGCAAUAAUGGUCACGUGUGGCCAGACGAGAGUACCGUACGAAUAAGCAUCGACUAACUCCGUGCCAGCAACCGCGGUAAUACGGGGGAUGCAAGCGUUAUCCGGAUUUAUUGGGUUUAAAGGGUGCGUAGGCUGUGAGGUAAGUCAGCGGGGAAAUGCCCCGGCUCAACGGGGUGAAGUGCCAUUGAUACUGCCUUGCUGGAAUGCGGAUGCCGUGGGAGGAAUGUGUGGUGUAGCGGUGAAAUGCAUAGAUAUCACACAGAACACCGAUUGCGAAGGCAUCUCACGAAUCCGCGAUUGACGCUGAUGCACGAAAGCGUGGGUAUCAAACAGGAUUAGAUACCCCUGUAGUC
rnacentral:rRNA from 1 species